UACGGAGGAUCCAAGCGUUAUCCGGAAUCAUUGGGUUUAAAGGGUCCGUAGGCGGUUUUGUAAGUCAGUGGUGAAAUCUGGUCGCUUAACGAUCAAACGGCCAUUGAUACUGCAAGACUUGAAUUACCAGGAAGUAACUAGAAUAUGUAGUGUAGCGGUGAAAUGCUUAGAUAUUACAUGGAAUACCAAUUGCGAAGGCAGGUUACUACUGGUAUAUUGACGCUGAUGGACGAAAGCGUGGGGAGCGAAC
rnacentral:rRNA from 1 species